GUUGGCUUUUUCAAGUUCACUCUUGUUCAUAACUUCCAGGAAGAGCCCAUCUUCAAUUGACAUUGCUUCCUGAUUGUCAUCCUUUGCUCUCCUGAACACUGUGCAUCCUAAGUCGUCUUGGUCCCUGUCAUAGAUAUUGCUGUCACAGAGGGAACUUAGGAGAGGAAGAAGUACAGGGUUGCUGUGUGGUAGCUCCUUUAUGAGGAUGUGAU